rnacentral:rRNA from 1 species
UACGGGGGGGGGCAAGCGUUGUUCGGAAUUAUUGGGCGUAAAGGGCGCGUAGGCGGCUUGGCAAGUGGAAGGUGAAAUCCCUCGGCUUAACCGAGGAACUGCCCUCCAAACUGCUUUGCUUGAGGCCGGGAGAGGUGAGUGGAAUUCCUGGUGUAGCGGUGAAAUGCGCAGAUAUCAGGAGGAACACCGAUGGCGAAGGCAGAUCUCUGGGCCGUAACUGACGCUGGAGGAGCGAAAGCGUGGGGAGCAAACAGG